CUGUGCUAGACGGGGAUGUAGCGGCGCCCUGUAACCCGCAAAUCCGCUAUAGCGGGGUUGAACUCCUCACGGAGGCUUGAUGCCUGUAGUGCUGGCUUAAGUAAGUGAUGAUGAAAAUUGGGUCCUACGCAAUGGAAACUCAUGAACCCCGCCAGGUCCGGAAGGAAGCAACGGUAAGUGAUCAUUUUCGUGUGCCGUGGGGUAGCCUGAUUAGAGUUAACUGCUUAGGUAACGGCUAUGGACACAUGUCGAAUUGAGGUGCACAG
rnacentral:SRP_RNA from 1 species